rnacentral:tRNA from 1 species
GCCAGCAUGGUGUAGUGGUUUCAGUGUUGGACUGCAACUCUAGAGACCAGGGUUUGAUUCCCCGCUCAAGCA